rnacentral:rRNA from 1 species
UUUGGCCAUACCACCCUGGCUAUACCUGAUCUCCCCUGAUCUCAGAAGCCAAGCAGGGUUAAGCCUGGUUAAUACUUGGAUGGGAGGCCAAAUGCUGAGAUUACAGGCAUGAGCCACCA